rnacentral:miRNA from 1 species
GCGGGGCCAGGCGGUGGUGGGCGUCCAGGGAAGGAGCCUGCAGAACCGGCUGUCCUUGAGGGUCCCUCAUUGCCCUGCUGCUAUACCAG